CAGCCACAGCGUGCCUCUGAAGCAGCUCUUUGUUAUCCUUCUCCAGGCGCUUUAUCUCUGCCCUGUCCAAGAGAAGUGGGCCAGAGACUCUGAGGGGCGGCAGGAUGACACGGCGAGACACAGCUGCGUGGGCACGGACGGGAGCGCCAUGGCAGCAGGUGUGCUGGAAUUUACCAAGGCCUUCCAAGUCCACGUCACUGCCAUCUGAGCGGAGGCUUGAAGCAGAUUUGAAGAACGGCAUCUUCAGUUUCUUCCUGCUGGUAGAAAAAAAUGAUAAAACAAAGUGGGAGGCUAGCAGGCUCCAAGGUUGAAUAUGAUUGCAGUACUUCAUUAAAGAUUAAACGGAGACCAGGUUUUCCUCUCCAUCUACAAGUACCAUAGCAAAAGAAGGAAGGUGGAGUUGUCUAUCCACAGUUACUACUGGUAUGGACAGUUAUUAUAUACUUUUAAGCUUUGCACAGGAAUGCCAGAGUGUACCUCUUUGUCUUUUGUGACUUUUUGGCCCCUCUUCAUAUUUCUGACCCCUCUGUGGGUGCUUCCAGACUGUCGCUAAAACGAAAUUCAAUCAUAAACCAGUAAAUUCAGGUUGUGUAUUUAUAGCUGAAUGAGAGGUCUUGUGCAGCCUCUUUGAGUCCAAUCCCUCCACCUUUUCUUUCCAGUAAGGUGAAAGGGAAACGUACUGGAA